AGUGAACGCUGGCGGUAGGCCUAACACAUGCAAGUCGAACGGCAGCACAGUAAGAGCUUGCUCUUACGGGUGGCGAGUGGCGGACGGGUGAGGAAUACAUCGGAAUCUACUUUUUCGUGGGGGAUAACGUAGGGUAACUUACGCUAACACCGCAUACGACCUACGGGUGAAAGCAGGGGAUCUUCGGACCUUGCGCGAUUGAAUGAGCCGAUGUCGGAUUAGCUAGUUGGCGGGGUAAAGGCCCACCAAGGCGACGAUCCGUAGCUGGUCUGAGAGGAUGAUCAGCCACACUGGAACUGAGACACGGUCCAGACUCCUACGGGAGGCAGCAGUGGGGAAUAUUGGACAAUGGGCGCAAGCCUGAUCCAGCCAUACCGCGUGGGUGAAGAAGGCCUUCGGGUUGUAAAGCCCUUUUGUUGGGAAAGAAAAGCAGCAGGUUAAUACCCCGCUGUUCUGACGGUACCCAAAGAAUAGGCACCGGCUAACUUCGUG
rnacentral:rRNA from 1 species